rnacentral:rRNA from 1 species
AUUGAACGCUGGCGGCAGGCCUAACACAUGCAAGUCGAACGAGUGGCGGACGGGUGAGUAAUGUCUGGGACACUGCCUGAUGGAGGGGGAUAACUACUGGAAACGGUAGCUAAUACCGCAUACCAUCAGAUGUGCCCAGAUGGGAUUAGCUAGUUGGUGGGGUGACGGCUCACCAAGGCGACGAUCCCUAGCUGGUCUGAGAGGAUGACCAGCGACAGUGGAACUGAGGCACGGGCCAGACUCCUGCGUGAGGCAGGAGGGGGGAAUAGUGCACAAUGGGCGCAAGCCGGAUGCAGCAAUGCCGCGUGUAUGAAGAAGGCCUUCGGGUUGUAAAGUACUAUCAGCGGGGAGGCGUUACCCGCAGAAGAAGCACCGGCUAACUCCGUGCCAGCAGCCGCGGUAAUUC